rnacentral:rRNA from 1 species
GUGCCAGCCGCCGCGGUAAUACGGGGGGUGCAAGCGUUAUUCGGAAUCAUUGGGCGUAAAGAGCACGUAGGCGGCUUGGUAAGUCAGAUGUGAAAGCCCGGGGCUUAACCCCGGAAGUGCAUUUGGUACUGCCAGGCUUGAGUAUGGGAGAGGGAAGUGGAAUUCCUGGUGUAGAGGUGAAAUUCGUAGAUAUCAGGAGGAACACCGGUGGCGAAGGCGACUUCCUGGACCAAUACUGACGCUGAGGUGCGAAGGCGGGGGUAGCAAACAGGAUUAGAUACCCCAGUAGUCC